rnacentral:rRNA from 1 species
CACGCCGUAAACGAUGAAUACUAGGUGUAGGAGGUAUCGACCCCUUCUGUGCCGCAGUUAACACAAUAAGUAUUCCGCCUGGGGAGUACGGUCGCAAGAUUAAAACUCAAAGGAAUUGACGGGGGCCCGCACAAGCAGCGGAGCAUGUGGUUUAAUUCGAAGCAACGCGAAGAACCUUACCUGGACUUGACAUCCCCUGAAUAGCCUAGAGAUAGGCGAAGCCCUUCGGGGCAGGGAGACAGGUGG